GGGCUUGUGGUUUAGUGGUAUAAUACUCCCUUAGCACCGUUAGAUGCAAAGAUCAUGCGAUUAUACAGCAAGAUUAAGCUCCAACACCCGCUUGGGAGUGGUCCGGGGUUCGAUUCCCCGCGAGUCCA